GGGGGAUCUUAGGACCUCUCGCUACAAGGGGCGGCCGAUGGCAGAUUAGCUAGUUGGUGGGGUAAAGGCCUACCAAGGCGACGAUCUGUAGCUGGUCUGAGAGGACGACCAGCCACACUGGGACUGAGACACGGCCCAGACUCCUACGGGAGGCAGCAGUGGGGAAUUUUGGACAAUGGGCGCAAGCCUGAUCCAGCAAUGCCGCGUGUGUGAAGAAGGCCUUCGGGUUGUAAAGCACUUUUGUCCGGAAAGAAAACGUCGUGGUUAAUACCCGUGGCGGAUGACGGUACCGGAAGAAUAAGCACCGGCUAACUACGUGCCAGCAGCCGCGGUAAUACGUAGGGUGCAAGCGUUAAUCGGAAUUACUGGGCGUAAAGCGUGCGCAGGCGGUCCGCUAAGACAGAUGUGAAAUCCCCGGGCUUAACCUGGGAACUGCAUUUGUGACUGGC
rnacentral:rRNA from 1 species